CAUGGGAAGAAGAACGGAUGAAAACUUAUCACGGGGAGAAGAAUGGAUGAAAACUACUUAUCACGGGAAGAUGAAUGGAUGAAAACUUAUCAGGGGAAGAAGAAUGGAUGGAAACUGAUCACGGGAAGAUAAAUGGUAGAAAACUUAUCACGGGAAGAAGAAUCGAUGAAAACUUAUCACGGGAAGAUGAAUCGAUGAAAACUUAUCACGGGAAGAAGAAUGGAUGAAAACUUAUCACGGGAAGAUAAAUGGUAGCUAGAAAACUUAUUACGGGUAAAAGAAUGGAUGCAAACUUAUCACGGGAAGAUGAAUGGUAGAAAACUUAUCACGGGAAGAUGAAUGGGUGAAAACUAAUCACGGGGAGAAGAAUGGAUGAAAACUUAUCACGGGGAGAAGAAUGGGUGAAAACUUAUCACGGGGAGAAGAAUGGAUGAAAACUUAUCACGGG
rnacentral:lncRNA from 1 species